rnacentral:rRNA from 1 species
CAACCUGAGUAGAGCGGCGCACGGGUGCGUAACACGUGGGUAAUCUGCCUUAGAGUCGAGGAUAACUUUCCGAAAGGUUAGCUAAUACUCGGUAAGCUUACGGUGUCUUCGGACAUUGUGAGAAAAGUAGGCCUCUAUUUAUAAGCUUACGCUCUGAGAUGAGCCCGCGGCCCAUCAGCUAGUUGGCGGGGUAACGGCCCACCAAGGCAACGACGGGUAGCUGGUCUGAGAGGACGAUCAGCCACACUGGAACUGAGACACGGUCCAGACUCCUACGGGAGGCAGCAGUGGGGAAUUUUCCACAAUGGGCGAAAGCCUGAUGGAGCAACGCCGCGUGUGUGAUGAAGGUUUUCGGAUCGUAAAGCACUUUCGACCGGGACGAAAAACCUCUGGCUAACAUCCAGGGGCCUGACGGUACCGGGAGAAGAAGCACCGGCUAACUCUGUGCCAGCAGCCGCGGUAAUACAGAGGGUGCAAGCGUUGUUCGGAAUUAUUGGGCGUAAAGCGCGUGUAGGCGGCUUGGCAAGUCAGAUGUGAAAGCCCUCGGCUUAA